AAAGGAGGUGAGCUGGGGAAGCAGGCAGAUGCCACAUAUAGGGAAUGGUAGCAUCAGAGUCAACAACACAAUUUUAAACUAUGCUGUGAUUAUUCACAGUCUGGAGUUCGUGACUGGUUAUCAACACAACGAAGGCAGUAGAGGGUGCAUUCCCUUGGAUGAAAUAUAACCAGGAUUGGUAACGAAAAGCCAGAACGCUUGUUAAAAUACUUGUCCAUCUCUAGCACAGUCUCAGAGCCAAGACUUCCAAGAUGACAUCAAUGUGAGACUCUACGGAUGACUCAUUUCCUAUGAAGAGUCAAGAGCCAGGAAAGACUAAAGAUGAUGAACGUAUACAAAAUCCAGAAAAACUAACUGGGAGGCCUCAGAAAAGUAAUAUUUAAAAGAGAAUAUAAGGGAUGCUUAACUUUUCCUUAACAUAAUAAAUAAUGAGAAAUGGACAAACGAAUUCAAAGAUUCCAUUUCAAACAUUCUUAUGAUUGCCUCAAGAUAUUUUUCUGUUUCUUUUUAUUAUCUUUGGCUGGGUGACGUUUCCUCAUAAAUA